GGAGGGAUGGCAGAGUGGUUGAAUGCAGCGGUCUUGAAAACCGCCAGGUCGGAGACGGCCUCGAGGGUUCGAAUCCCUCUCCCUCCG
rnacentral:tRNA from 1 species